AAGGCUUUAUCUUAAUUAAAGUAUCUGAGUUGCAUUUAAAAGAUGUGGGGUAAAAUCCUGCAAGUCUUA
rnacentral:tRNA from 1 species